rnacentral:rRNA from 1 species
UAAGAGGCGUAGUUAGUAUCGAAUAGUCGGGUGUACGAGUACACGAGCGGCGGACGGGUGAGUAACGCGUGGGAAUCUACCCCAAACUGAGGGAUAAGCAUCGGAAACGGUGUCUAAUACCGCAUAUGGUCUUCGGAUUUAAAGCUUUCGGCGGUUUUGGGGAAGAGCCCGCGUAAGAUUAGCUAGUUGGUGAGGUAAUGGCUCACCAAGGCGACGAUCUUUAACUGGUUUGAGAGGAUGAUCAGUCACACUGGAACUGAGACACGGUCCAGACUCCUACGGGAGGCAGCAGUGAGGAAUUUUCCACAAUGGGCGAAAGCCUGAUGGAGCAACGCCGCGUGCAGGAUGAAGGCUUUAGGGUUGUAAACUGCUUUUAUAUGUGACGAAUAUGACGGUAGCAUAUGAAUAAGGAUCGGCUAACUCCGUG